UUAGGUGCUAAUGUAGGAAUGAAUAUAUUCGAGUCAUUGUACGGAUUUUGUGGAUCCUACUUGACCCUUAUUCAUCAUGAUGGUUGGGAUCAAACUGUUUAAAUGACUCUUUUUGGAUUGUUUAUUGAUUCGUCGUAGGUGUAACGCAUACUAAUGUUGGCGGGUUGUGCAGAAAUCUCAAUUUUCUUUUACAAUUCCGUUUUCCAGUGUUUAGUUAGGGGCUUCCUUCUAACUUUUUCCCCCUUCGUACAAUGUACCUUGGAUGUGUUCUAAUAUAUAUGAGCUUUGUUGUUUUUCCCCAC
rnacentral:misc_RNA from 1 species